UACGUAGGGUGCGAGCGUUAAUCGGAAUUACUGGGCGUAAAGGGUGUGUAGGCGGUUUUCUAAGUCUGGUGUGAAAUCUCCCGGCUCAACUGGGAGGGUGCGCCGAAAACUGGAAGGCUAGAGUGCGGGAUGGGAGAGUGGAAUUCCUGGUGUAGCGGUGAAAUGCGUAGAUAUCAGGAGGAACACCUGUGGUGUAGACGGCUCUCUGGACCGACAUUGACGCUGAGGCGCGAAAGCGUGGGGAGCAAACAGG
rnacentral:rRNA from 1 species